rnacentral:rRNA from 1 species
UACGUAGGGUGCGAGCGUUGUCCGGAAUUAUUGGGCGUAAAGAGCUCGUAGGCGGUUAGUCGCGUCUGCUGUGAAAACUCGGGGCUUAACUCCGGGCCUGCAGUGGGUACGGGCUGACUAGAGUGCGGUAGGGGAGACUGGAAUUCCUGGUGUGGCGGUGAAAUGCGCAGAUAUCGGGAGGAACACCUAUUGCGAAGGCAGCUCGCUGGGACGUUACUGACGCUGAGACGCGAAAGCGUGGGGAGCAAACAGG